ACCCCCUGGCAAUGGGCAAAGAGACACCUUGAUGGUGAUGGUGUUCUUAUAUCAGUCAGAGGCAAAGCUGAUGUAAGUCUUUUGCUCAUUCUAGCUUGAUGGCUGGUUUGGUGGCCAGGCUGUCUUAUUCCUAGGACUCAUAA